CCAAACGAGCCUAGUGAUAGCUGGUUACCCGAUAAAAGAAUUUUAGUUCUACCUAAAGCCCCCCCCACGUCUAAUAAACUAAUACUAAUGCUUUAGAGUUAUUCAAGUAAGGUACAGCCUAUUUGAACAAGGAAACAACCUGAACUAAUGGGUUAAUUCUGCUACAGUGUACCUAAGUGRGCCUAAAAGCAGCCACCUUUACAAUAGCGUCAAAGCUUUUCUACACACGCACACCAAUUUCUUAACCUAAUCUUAACCCUUUAUUUUCAUCGAGUACUUCUAUAUCCCUAUAGAACAUAAAAUGUUAAAACUAGUAACAAGAAGAAAGCCCUUCUCUUAAAUGUAAGUGUAAGCCAGAAAGGAUAAACCACUGUCAAUUAACACUAAUGAUUUCUAAUUAGCAACACCACAAGAAAACCCUAAUUAAAUAAAUGUUAAACUAACACAAGAACAUUUCAAGAAAGAUUAAAAGAAAAAGAAGGAACUCGGCAAACAUUAACCCCGCCUGUUUACCAAAAACAUCGCCUCUUGACAAACAUAAGAGGUCCAGCCUGCCCAGUGACCUAGUUCAACGGCCGCGGUAUCCUAACCGUGCGAAGGUAGCGUAAUCACUUGUUCUUUAAAUGAGGACUAGUAUGAAUGGCACCACGAGGGUUAAACUGUCUCCUUUUUUUAAUCAGUGAAACUGAUCUUCCCGUGAAGAAGCGGGAAUUUUUUUAUAAGACGAGAAGACCCUAUGGAGCUUUAAACAAAUUAACACCUGCUGCCUAAAAUUAAUCUUCCAGAAGCAUAACAUAUAGCAUAGCAUUAUGAUUAAUAGUUUUCGAUUGGGGUGAUCACGGAGUAAAAAACAACCUCCAUGCCGAAAGGGGCCUCCCCUGAGCAAAAAGCCACAACUUUAAGCACUAAAAAAUUAACGUUAAUUGACCCAAUAACUUGAUCAACGAACCAAGUUACCCUAGGGAUAACAGCGCAAUCCACUUCAAGAGCUCCUAUCGACAAGUGGGUUUACGACCUCGAUGUUGGAUCAGGGUAUCCCAGUGGUGCAGCCGCUACUAAUGGUUCGUUUGUUCAACGAUUAAAAUCCU
rnacentral:rRNA from 1 species